AAAUUACGUUUUUAUCUUUUUUUCCUAAAAUAUUAACCCAGGACGAAAGCCAACGGUAGAUUCCUACAUAUUCUUCCCUAAUGAACAUAUUUAAAUAAUUUUAAGACGAUUUAAAGCCCGGUGAAUUUCGGUGAAAUGAGCCGGUGCCUUGUGUCAAAUUCUGGACUGAUUCUCCAUUUAAAAUAUGCGUAAUGAACAAAAGAUUAAGACCACUUAGUUCAGUUGUGGUUAGUUUACAACUACGAACUCUUGGCCUAGUGAUAAUGAUUACAGGUUUCGCCCUGGACAAUUUUUUU